UUGCAGUAAUGCAAGGCAUACGGCUCAGUAACACGUAGUCAACCUACCCUAUGGACGAGAAUAAUCUCGGGAAACUGAGCAUAAUUCUUGAUAGAUCAUAAUGCCUGGAAUGGUUUAUGGUUAAAAUGAUUCGUCGCCAUAGGAUGGGACUGCGGCCUAUCAGCUUGUUGGUGAGGUAACGGCCCACCAAGGCGAUUACAGGUACGGGCUCUGAGAGGAGAAGCCCGGAGAUGGGUACUGAGACACGGACCCAGGCCCUAUGGGGCGCAGCAGGCGAGAAAACUUUGCAACGUGCGAAAGCACGACAAGGUUAAUCCGAGUGUUUUCUGCUAAAGAAAUCUUUUGCCAGUCGUAAAACCACUGGUGAAUAAGGGGUGGGCAAGUUCUGGUGUCAGCCGUCGCGGUAAAACCAGCACCUCAAGUGGUCAGGAUGAUUAUUGGGCCUAAAGCAUCCGUAGCCGGCUUUGUAAGUUUUCGGUUAAAUCCAUGUGCUCAACGCAUGGGCUGCCGAAAAUACUGCAUAGCUAGGGAGUGGGAGAGGUAGACGGUACUCAGUAGGUAGGGGUAAAAUCCUUUGAUCUAUUGAUGACCACCUGUGGCGAAGGCGGUCUACCAGAACACGUUCGACGGUGAGGGAUGAAAGCUGGGGGAGCAAACCGGAUUA
rnacentral:rRNA from 1 species